rnacentral:rRNA from 1 species
CCUGCAUAUACCCAUGUUUUUUGCGUACUACUUGUUUCCUUGGUGGGCCUAGCCCGCCAAUAGGACAACUCCAACACCUUUUGCAAUUGCAGUCAGCGUCAGAAAAAACAUAAUAAUUACAACUUUCAACAACGGAUCUCUUGGUUCUGGCAUCGAUGAAGAACGCAGCGAAAUGCGAUAAGUAGUGUGAAUUGCAGAAUUCAGUGAAUCAUCGAAUCUUUGAACGCACAUUGCGCCCCUUGGUAUUCCAUGGGGCAUGCCUGUUCGAGCGUCAUUUGUACCCUCAAGCUCUGCUUGGUGUUGGGUGUUUGUCCCGCAGUUUUUCACGUGGACUCGCCUUAAAGCAAUUGGCAGCCGGCAUAUUGGCCUGGAGCGCAGCACAUUUUGCGCCCCUUGCCCUGAAUGUUGGCAUCCAUCAAGCCCAUUUAUUUGCUCUUGACCUCGGAUCAGGUAGGGAUACCCGCUGAAC